rnacentral:rRNA from 1 species
UACGUAGGUGGCAAGCGUUGUCCGGAAUUACUGGGUGUAAAGGGAGCGCAGGCGGGAAGCCAAGUCAGCUGUGAAAACUACGGGCUUAACUUGUAGACUGCAGUUGAAACUGGUUUUCUUGAGUGAAGUAGAGGUUGGCAGAAUUCCGAGUGUAGCGGUGAAAUGCGUAGAUAUUCGGAGGAACACCGGUGGCGAAGGCGGCCAACUGGGCUUUAACUGACGCUGAGGCUCGAAAGUGUGGGGAGCAAACAGG